UUUAUAUACUUAUAAACCCUCUAUGUUUAUGUAAUUCCUCAUAUAGUCUCUAAUCCUCCAUCUUAAAAUAAUAAAAAAAAAGCAGCAAAUUGUCUUUUUUAUGCCUUGCAGCUCUAGAGAACCUAGCAAAAUAUGGCAAAACAAUGUGAUCUUUAAAGGAAAACAUUUGUAUACUGCUCUCAUUAAGAGAAGUGCAAUGUAGUCAGCGGAGCCUCCAGUCCACCAGCCAAUCAUCAUUAUGGAAAUGUGGUUCUCA
rnacentral:lncRNA from 1 species